rnacentral:rRNA from 1 species
UACAGAGGUCCCAAGCGUUGUUCGGAUUCACUGGGCGUAAAGGGUGCGUAGGUGGUCGGGUAAGUUUAAGGUGAAAGCUCCGGGCUCAACCCGGAAAUGGCCUUGAAUACUAUCCGGCUCGAGGGUUGGAGGGGGGACUGGAAUUCUCGGUGUAGCAGUGAAAUGCGUAGAUAUCGAGGGGAACACCAGUGGCGAAGGCGAGUCCCUGGACAACACCUGACACUGAGGCACGAAAGCUAGGGGAGCAAACGGG